CGUUAAGUGUCUUGCUCAGGGACAUUGGUUAAGGUAUUGCAGUGGGAAUGUAACCCAGAUCUCCCACACCAAAGGCAUGUAUCAUAUCCACUGUGCCAUCACCACCCACUUGCUUCAACUAUGUGCU